UACGUAGGGUGCGAGCGUUGUCCGGAAUUAUUGGGCGUAAAGGGCUCGUAGGCGGUUUGUCGCGUCGGGAGUGAAAUCAUCUGGCUUAACUGGGUGCUUGCUUUCGAUACGGGCAGACUAGAGGUAUGCAGGGGAGAACGGAAUUCCUGGUGUAGCGGUGAAAUGCGCAGAUAUCAGGAGGAACACCGGUGGCGAAGGCGGGUCGCUGGGCCGUAACUGACGCUGAGGAGCGAAAGCGUGGGGAGCGAACAGG
rnacentral:rRNA from 1 species